GGGUUAGUGGCGGACGGGUGAGUAACACGUGGGAACGUGCCUUUAGGUUCGGAAUAGCUCCUGGAAACGGGUGGUAAUGCCGAAUGUGCCCUUCGGGGGAAAGAUUUAUCGCCUUUAGAGCGGCCCGCGUCUGAUUAGCUAGUUGGUGAGGUAAAGGCUCACCAAGGCUACGAUCAGUAGCUGGUCUGAGAGGAUGACCAGCCACAUUGGGACUGAGACACGGCCCAAACUCCUACGGGAGGCAGCAGUGGGGAAUCUUGCGCAAUGGGCGAAAGCCUGACGCAGCCAUGCCGCGUGAAUGAUGAAGGUCUUAGGAUUGUAAAAUUCUUUCAGUAGGGACGAUAAUGACGGUACCUACAGAAGAAGCCCC
rnacentral:rRNA from 1 species